AACGAACGCUGGCGGCAUGCCUAACACAUGCAAGUCGAACGUGAUCCGGGGCUUGCCCCGGUGAAAGUGGCGGACGGGUGAGUAACGCGUGGGAACCUGCCCUUUGGUCGGGAAUAACUGCGGGAAACUGCGGCUAAUACCCGAUGCGCCCCUGGGCUCUGCCUGGGGGGAAAGAUUUAUCGCCGAAGGAUGGGCCCGCGUCGGAUUAGGUAGUUGGUGGGGUAACGGCCUACCAAGCCUUCGAUCCGUAGCUGGUCUGAGAGGAUGAUCAGCCACACUGGGACUGAGAUACGGCCCAGACUCCUACGGGAGGCAGCAGUGGGGAAUAUUGGACAAUGGGCGCAAGCCUGAUCCAGCAAUGCCGCGUGAGUGAAGAAGGCCUUAGGGUUGUAAAGCUCUUUCGGCGGGGACGAUGAUGACGGUACCAGCAGAAGAAGCCCCGGCUAACUCCGUGCCAGCCGCCGCCGUAACAC
rnacentral:rRNA from 1 species